rnacentral:pre_miRNA from 1 species
UCACUAUUGCAAACUUAGUCUGAACACUAUAAAAAAUGCUCAUGUAAAAAUAUGCGCAUCAUAGAUUUGUAGUGUUCAGAUUGAGUUUACAGUAGUUG